GAGAUGGAUUGGUGCCUUCGGGAACUCUGACACAGGUGCUGCAUGGCGUGUCGUCCAGCUCCGUGUCGUGAGAUGUUGGGUUAAGUCCGUAACGAGCGCAACCCUUGUCCUUAGUUACCAGCACGUUAUGGUGGGCACUCUAAGGAGACUGCCGGUGACAAACCGGAGGAAGGUGGGGAUGACGUCAAGUCAUCAUGGCCCUUACGGCCUGGGCUACACACGUGCUACAAUGGUCGGUACAAAGGGUUGCCAAGCCGCGAGGUGGAGCUAAUCCCAUAAAACCGAUCGUAGUCCGGAUCGCAGUCUGCAACUCGACUGCGUGAAGUCGGAAUCGCUAGUAAUCGUGAAUCAGAAUGUCACGGUGAAUACGUUCCCGGGCCUU
rnacentral:rRNA from 1 species